rnacentral:rRNA from 1 species
AUUGAACGCUGGCGGCAGGCCUAACACAUGCAAGUCGAGCGGAUGAAGGGAGCUUGCUCCUGGAUUCAGCGGCGGACGGGUGAGUAAUGCCUAGGAAUCUGCCUGGUAGUGGGGGAUAACGUCCGGAAACGGGCGCUAAUACCGCCUACGUCCUGAGGGAGAAAGUGGGGGAUCUUCGGACCUCACGCUAUCAGAUGAGCCUAGGUCGGAUUAGCUAGUUGGUGGGGUAAAGGCCUACCAAGGCGACGAUCCGUAACUGGUCUGAGAGGAUGAUCAGUCACACUGGAACUGAGACACGGUCCAGACUCCUACGGGAGGCAGCAGUGGGGAAUAGUGGACAAUGGGCGAAAGCCUGAUCCAGCCAUGCCGCGUGUGUGAAGAAGGUCUUCGGAUUGUAAAGCACUUUAAGUUGGGAGGAAGGGCAGUAAGUUAAUACCUUGCUGUUCUGACGUUACCAACAGAAUAAGCACCGGCUAACUUCGUG